GUCGAGCGGCGGACGGGUGAGUAAUGCCUAGGAAAUUGCCCUGAUGUGGGGGAUAACCAUUGGAAACGAUGGCUAAUACCGCAUGAUGCCUACGGGCCAAAGAGGGGGACCUUCGGGCCUCUCGCGUCAGGAUAUGCCUAGGUGGGAUUAGCUAGUUGGUGAGGUAAGGGCUCACCAAGGCGACGAUCCCUAGCUGGUCUGAGAGGAUGAUCAGCCACACUGGAACUGAGACACGGUCCAGACUCCUACGGGAGGCAGCAGUGGGGAAUAUUGCACAAUGGGCGCAAGCCUGAUGCAGCCAUGCCGCGUGUGUGAAGAAGGCCUUCGGGUUGUAAAGCACUUUCAGUCGUGAGGAAGGUGGUGUAGUUAAUAGCUGCAUUAUUUGACGUUAGCGACAGAAGAAGCACCGGCUAACUCCGUGCCAGCAGCCGCGGUAAUACGGAGGGUGCGAGCGUUAAUCGGAAUUACUGGGCGUAAAGCGCAUGCAGGUGGUUUGUUAAGUCAGAUGUGAAAGCCCGGGGCUCAACCUCGGAAUAGCAUUUGAAACUGGCAGACUAGAGUACUGUAGAGGGGGGUAGAAUUUCAGGUGUAGCGGUGAAAUGCGUAGAGAUCUGAAGGAAUACCGGUGGCGAAGGCGGCCCCCUGGACAGAUACUGACACUCAGAUGCGAAAGCGUGGGGAGCAAACAGGAUUAGAUACCCUGGUAGUCCACGCCGUAAACGAUGUCUACUUGGAGGUUGUGGCCUUGAGCCGUGGCUUUCGGAGCUAACGCGUUAAGUAGACCGCCUGGGGAGUACGGUCGCAAGAUUAAAACUCAAAUGAAUUGACGGGGGCCCGCACAAGCGGUGGAGCAUGUGGUUUAAUUCGAUGCAACGCGAAGAACCUUACCUACUCUUGACAUCCAGAGAACUUUCCAGAGAUGGAUUGGUGCCUUCGGGAACUCUGAGACAGGUGCUGCAUGGCUGUCGUCAGCUCGUGUUGUGAAAUGUUGGGUUAAGUCCCGCAACGAGCGCAACCCUUAUCCUUGUUUGCCAGCGAGUAAUGUCGGGAACUCCAGGGAGACUGCCGGUGAUAAACCGGAGGAAGGUGGGGACGACGUCAAGUCAUCAUGGCCCUUACGAGUAGGGCUUACACACGUGCUUACAAUGGCGCAUACAGAGGGCGGCCAACUUGCGAAAGUGAGCGAAUCCCAAAAAGUGCGUCGUAGUCCGGAUUGGAGUCUGCAACUCGACUCCAUGAAGUCGGAAUCGCUAGUAAUCGUGGAUCAGAAUGCCACGGUGAAUACGUUCCCGGGCCUUGUACACACCGCCCGUCACACCAUGGGAGUGGGCUGCAAAAGAAGUAGGUAGUUUAACCUUCGGGGGGACGCUUACCACUUUGUGGUUCAUGACUGGGGUGAAGUCGUAAC
rnacentral:rRNA from 1 species